GUGUUGAAUUUCGUAUAUUUACUCAUUAAUUUAUAAACAUUGAUUUAUACGAUCGAUCACAUGCUAUUUUUUCGCUGUGCAUUUGCUGGAUGCGCCAGAACAGCAACUUGAUGCAUUGUCUGUAUGUGCGUGUGCAGUUUGCCAAGUCGAGUAAAAGAUAUAAACGGGUUAGACAGCCAGCAGCUAGGGGAGCAUCCCCAGCCACCAGAACCAGAACAACAACAACAACAGUAACAACAGUAGCAGCGGCAGCAAUAAGAAGAUGCUUAACCGUUAUAUAAAUUAAAAAUGUAAAUAACAAUGUUUACAAGCGAUCUACACUUCUUGCUAUUUUAGGGGAACCACAUUUACCGCAGAAUUUCUUUGCCGUCGGAUUUCACUUGCAAAUCGCGUAACUAGAGCACAGUUCUUGGCACAAACAUAAUUGAAUAAGGCUGGUUAUCGUUUUGAAGGCUUUAUCAGAACUUAUUUUGGCACUUCGAGAUGCGUGCACUUCACAUGGCCACAGAACUCAAAAAUCGCGAAUGGAGCUCAGCGCCGAGUAUCUCGAAUUGGUUUGGCUCGGAUUGGAUCGAAUCGAGUCCGGAAAUCGGGGAAUAUUGAAAGCAGGCCCAAACACAGCGAACCGUUCGCCUCGAAUGUUCAGCGGAAACUGAGCGCCGGCACUGAAAACACUCGAGAUACUCGAAACACUCGGGCCGAUGCGGCGAAUGAGCAAUGCGAGUGCGGCGAAAGAAACAGAGAGAGAGAGAGCACAGUGAGAAAAACCGGUUGCAGAACACCCAGCAAACAUUUUCAAACAAUAAAAGUCACCAUAAGGCAGAAGAGGCUUAAUAGUGGGUUUCACC
ensembl:ncRNA asRNA:CR46145 antisense RNA:CR46145